rnacentral:tRNA from 1 species
GCCGAAGUGGCGGAAUUGGCAGACGCACCAUCUUGAGGGGGUGGCGGGGCAACCCGUGGGGGUUCGAGUCCCCCCUUCGGCACCA